rnacentral:rRNA from 1 species
AUUGAACGCUGGCGGCGUGCUUAACACAUGCAAGUCGAGCGGCAGCGGGCCCGCAAGGGUGCCGGCGAGCGGCGGACGGGUGAGCAAUACAUAGGAAUCUGCCUCAGAGCGGGGGAUAGCCAGGGGAAACCCUGAUUAAUACCGCAUGACGUCGAGAGACCAAAGUGGGGGAUCGUAAGACCUCACACUCUGAGAUGAGCCUAUGUCGGAUUAGCAGUUGGCGGGGUAACGGCCCACCAAGGCGACGAUCCGUAGCUGGUCUGAGAGGACGAUCAGCCACACCGGAACUGAGACACGGUCCGGACUCCUACGGGAGGCAGCAGUGGGGAAUAUUGGACAAUGGGCGAAAGCCUGAUCCAGCGACGCCGCGUGGGUGAAGAAGG